CGCUCCUAGAAAGCAGCCGCGGUGACCUAAAGCUUUGCUUGGUGUAAAUUACAAUAAAUAAUCUUUUCUUUCCAAAACAGGAUUAUGGCCUAUAAAAUGCUUCAAGUAGCCCUGUGUUCAACAUUGCUUAUAGGAGCAUUGGGAGCGCCAUUUUUGUUGGAGGACCCAGCAAACCAGUUCCUACAUCUCAAAAGACAUAUAUAUUUGCAGGAUUACUGGGACCCAGAUCAGAAUCCAAAUAUGUGGGGCAACUCGCUGGCUGAUCAGGUUCGUGAAACAUGGACUGCUUUGAAAACAACAGCACAGUAUUAUCUGAAUGUGAAUGCCUUCACGUCUGACAUAUCCACUGCCCAGUAAAUGUGCUUUGAUGAUUAAACCAGGAGAGCAAAAACAGCGGGAGUCAACAUGGCAAUGGACCCAAACCAU